rnacentral:lncRNA from 1 species
GUAGUGGUUGACGAAGAUGAGGCCGGUGAAGAGCAGCACCACCAUGGAGAGGAAGGAGAAGACCACGCACACGCAGCCAGCGUCCCCCGCCCCCUACGCGGGGUGGUGGCAGGAAACCGGUUCCUGAGUUUUCCUUCUUUCUCUUCCUCGACACGACCUCCCCACCAGUGUGUUUCUGUUUAUCCUCCUCGCCCGGGGGCUGGGUCCCUGGCGAAGCCUCGUUUUCACCCACCCACCCCCAAGCCAGAGCUCACCAGUGAUGUAAUGCGGGACCCGCGCGGGGAGGGGAAACGGCAGCCUCAACCGCCUGGCAGCGGCGGUUUCUUCUCUUCGUGAAAAUCGUGAUCUCAUCUCUCCGUCCAUGGGCGAAAAAACAGCCAUCACCAGGCCAUUCACGCUUUGUGCUUUUGUUAGCAGAGCCCAGGCAGCCCUGCAGCCCACAUCUAGGGUACAAACGGAACGGCGGCGUUUUCCUUGUAUCAUUUAGAGGAAAUUUUUGAGCUGAACAGUAUUUUUUUUCUCCCUCUCUCUCUCUCUGAAAUAUUGCUGAGAUUUAAAGGAGGACGAAGACAACAGAUUCAUAGCUGGGUCUUGCUGUUUUCCUGACGCUGACCACAGCGGAUCUAGGUGGCUAUUUCGUUGGUGCACAGGCGUUCACAGAGGCAGAGAGGGGAGAAAGUUGUCAAACAGAUUCACAGACUGUCAAAGUGCGGCUUAAACCGAGUUCCUGGGCUCCCUCACUGGCUUCGUCCACUUAAACUUUUAACGUACACAUGUAGAGAGCUGAAACUCCAGGGGUAACAUGGGACAGGUCCUCUUGAUUUAAUGAAAACAGAAGAUCAACUGGACCGGGUAGCAAGAAAUAAGGCUUAAGAAGCACUGGUUUCUCUGCAGAAGACAGCAAGAUGCCCCAGGGAAUGUUUGUGAAAAAGGAUGACUGGAUGGGAAGCAAGCUGAAGAAAAAGAAGGAAAGAAAGAGAGAAAUCAGUAAAUCACCACACAAGAGGUGGAGAAGAGGACUUAUAAAUAUUGUUUCUAUGACAUUUGAAAAUAAAUGUUUUACUCCAUGCUAAUAGUGAAUGUGAUGUCUUCAGUUUGAAGGGCUUUAAGUGAAGCUCAUUAAAACCCACUAUUUUCCA